GCCAGGCAUGGUGGCUCAUGCCUGUAAUCCCAGUAACUCAGGAGGCUGAGGCAGGAGGAUCGUGAGUUCAAGGCCAGCCUCAGCAAAUUAGUGAAGCCCUAAGCAACUCAGCGAGACCCUGUCUCAA
rnacentral:sRNA from 1 species